GGGAGGAAGGGAUGGGCACAUCCCUAAUACGUUCUGGGCACUAAGAAAAACUAAAGUAGAGCUCACCAUAUCUGAGGGAAUGGCAGUUUGGGAAGAAGAUGCAGAAGAGCCUGUUUUCACCUUCCUGGCCAGGCUGGAAUCCUCACAUGGGAACCCGUCUCCAUACUCUGAGAUCAUAAGCUCAGGAGUCUAAACUGGAAAGUGUGAAGAAGACAGUGGAGGCAUCUUCAGAAGUGGACUGAGGCCUCCAAUUCCCAGCAGAGAAGGACCCCUGUGGAGGAAACUGGCAGCAGAGAAUGAGAAGGAGCCAGUGCUGGAGGAGAAAAGAAAGGCGGAGCAUGCAGAGUUUGUUGUCUGAAGUCAGAAAUUUUACCCUUGCCAGAACUCUUCAAUGGAGAUGGAAAAAAUAUUCAUUAGCAAGACUGAAGCCAACCUUGAACUUGAUGAGAGUCCUGUGCAGAGAUGCAGGAGAAGAGAAGUGAUUUGUAAAACUUCAGGAUGAUGGAGGGCUGCAUCUCCCAAUUUCAGAGGAAUCCUGCUUCAUUUCCAAAGAACCAUACUCUUCAGUUACAAGCAAACUGGCAAUGUAGCCAAAGUGUCUGUCCACUGAGCAGAAUUUCCCAGAAG